ACAAAACAAAGCCUUUUUGUCAAAACUCGCCUUAAAAAAAUCAUGGUGACUAACCUCCUCAUCGGUCAGUACUCGUGUAACUAUCCCUUUAAGAUAGAGGCCCAAACCUUUGAGCAUCUCCAGGUGUUCACUUGUCCUUUAUUUUUAUUUUUUUUGGCUUUUUCCCAGUGGCCAUGAACUUUGUUUUUAUUGACCAAAUGUUUGGUUUCCCUCAUUUCUGGAGCUAGCAUUUCCAGGAGGUCUGAAGGCAUCUCCCUCCCCUACUUCUUGGGUUCAAGUUACCCUUUAUGAUCCAACAAUCGGCCAGGCCACCCAGGCAAGUAGAAGGUUACAAAUUCAUGAAAACAGAAAAUUAAAAUUUAUUGACUCUGUAUGCUAACGUCUUACUCCACUUCUUACACACCAGCCUCACAUUUUCAGACCAAAACAGGAAAAUAGAGAAGUUUUCAAAUUACUGUCAGUACUCGUUGUAUUUGUAGUAUGCAAUUGAGACACAGAAAUGUUCACAUUCUGGCAUGUAGUGUUUUUUUUUAGAGUCUAAACACCACAGAACUCAUGAGACAUUUAAGCUUCACUAACAUCAGUGACCUCUUGGCCUAACAUGACCUAAGUAAUUUAUAUUUGACUAUAGAUCUGGGAAAAUCCCACCAGGUGAGGAGAAUACCUGCCCAUAGAUGAUGUCCUUCGCUUAUGGGCCUAGAGCCAAUUUGUUUGUCCCAGGGCAAAUUUAUCGGACCAAUUGGUGGCUUUACCAAACAAUAGGAUCUACUCGUUUGCAGUAAUUUUAAAACAUUUAGUAGAGUAAACAGUCUGCACAAGUUCCAGAAAUUCAAAACAGCCAAUUAGACAUUUUCUUACAACCUGCUGAUGUGUUGGGUUUCUUUACCUGGUGACAACUUUGUGACUUUUAUCCCAUUGUGACAUUCAUUUUUAGGCAAAGAAAUGGUUCACCAAGUAGGAACUCAGACAACUUUCUAGAUUAAUUCUAGGUGAAGACUUGCUAUGGACUCAUGGAUAUCUCCAUCUGCUGUUCUUAAAUCCAAAAGUAGGAGGCAGGAUGUGUUGGAGGUCAUUUGAACACAAUUAUGAAGAAUGAACAGAAACUUUUCUUUGCAAAAAAAAAAAAAUUCAAGGUUCAGCUUCUGACAAAGCAAAAAUCAAGGUAACGUGCAUUUCAAACCUUGAAUAAAGAUAAAUGUCAUGGGGAAGAAAAACAAAAUCAAAAAAAUAGAUGCUUCCAUCCACAUCUAUACUGAUGGCAAUGACAUUAACACAAAUGUAGGUUCAAGAUGAUGACAUUUAGUGCUCAGCCUCUAGGGGGACAUUUUUAUACAAUGUGCUGGGGUGACUCAGAUCCCCCCUAGUCAGAUACCAAAAAAAAAUAUGUGAAAUGAAAUUAUCCAUAUGCUAAGCAGUGAUUCAAGACACAGAAUAGAUUUACUGGGUUUUCAUUAUUAAUGUUUUCACCUAUUUCUUUAUGCAUUGAGUCUACCGUAUCCUAAUAUUCACCAGAAUUGCAAAGUCCUCUGUACAACACACCAGCAAGGGUACCGCUGGAGAAAUGCCCUUACAAUGAUAUUUUUAUGUUCACCCGCCUGCUCAAGGGGUCUGUUGACUAAUGUGAUACCGUCAUCCAGUGUUGGACAGGGGGAGGGUCCUACUUGAAAACCAGAGACUCACCUCAGCUAAGAGGGGCCCUCUGUCACUUCAAUUGACCAUACCCACUUCCAGCACUUUUAUUUGCACUGCCACUGAUUGAUCGCUGGAAUCCAGACCCCAGCACUCCACCAAGGCACUUUAUAGACUUUCCAUUUGAGCGGACCAUGGGACCAGGACCAGGUCCCACCGGAUUUUCUCCCAUUGGGCCAGUCCGACACUGCCAUCAUCUCACAAUGUUUUGGCCCCUGUUAGGGGCACUGUCUCCAUGAGGCGAGUUGAGAAACUCAACUCAGGUGGCAGCAGCCCUCAAGUUAGCAGGGGCAGCAAAAAAGCAGCUCCUGGUAAUUUAGGAGCUGAAACUCAGAUUUCUUUUCUGUGUAUUUCCUUUACUUUUACAAAUCAAACGUGUUUGUGUAUUUCAUGUGUGGCCCCAGGCAAUUUUUAUUUUUCCAAUGUGGCCCUGCGAGCCAAAAGUUUGGACAAACCUGAUAUAAACAAAGGAAUAAAUGCUUUUACGUAGGGCUAUCCCAC